CUGCUGCCUUCCGUAGGAGUCUGGUCCGUGUCUCAGUACCAGUGUGGGGGACCUUCCUCUCAGAACCCCUACGCAUCGUCGGUUAGGUGGGCCGUUACCCCGCCUACUGCCUAAUGCGCCGCAUGCCCAUCCCUGUCCGGCCGAGCCUUUCCUGCCUCCGGGAUGCCCCGGUGGCAUGUACGCGGGUUUAGCCCGCCUUUCGGCGGGUUGUCCCCCUGACAGGGGCAGGUUGCAUACGUGUUACUCACCCGUGCGCCGGUCGCCGGCGGAGAAAG
rnacentral:rRNA from 1 species